UACGUAGGGUGCGAGCAUUGUCCGGAAUUAUUGGACGUAAAGAGCUCGUAGGCGGUUCGGCAAGUCGGAUGUGAAAUCCUCCCGGCUUAACUGGGAGGGGCCGUGCGAAACUGCCGGGCUUGAGGUCGGAAGGGGAAAGUGGAAUUCCGGGUGUAGUGGUGGAAUACGUAGAUAUCCGGAGGAACACCAGCGGCGAAGGCGGCUUUCUGGUCCGAUACUGACGCUGAGGUGCGAAAGCGUGGGGAGCGAUCCGG
rnacentral:rRNA from 1 species